ensembl:snRNA U6 U6 spliceosomal RNA
GUAUUUGCUUCAGCGGUACAUAUACUAAAAUUGGAACAGUUCAGAGAUUAGUGUGGCCCCUGGGCAAGAAUGGCAUGCAAAUGUGAAAACAAUCUCGGGGUUCUUUUUUUUU